rnacentral:rRNA from 1 species
AUCAGGUAGGGAUACCCGCUGAACUUAAGCAUAUCAAUAAGCGGAGGAAAAGAAACCAACAGGGAUUGCCCCAGUAACGGCGAGUGAAGCGGCAAGAGCUCAAAUUUGAAAGCUGGCUCCUUCGGGGUCCGCAUUGUAAUUUGCAGAGGAUGCUUCGGGAGCGGUCCCCAUCUAAGUUCCCUGGAACGGGACGUCAUAGAGGGUGAGAAUCCCGUAUGGGAUGGGGUGUCCGCGCCCGUGUGAAGCUCCUUCGACGAGUCGAGUUGUUUGGGAAUGCAGCUCUAAAUGGGUGGUAAAUUUCAUCUAAAGCUAAAUAUUGGCCGGAGACCGAUAGCGCACAAGUAGAGUGAUCGAAAGAUGAAAAGCACUUUGAAAAGAGAGUUAAAAAGCACGUGAAAUUGUUGAAAGGGAAGCGCUUGCGACCAGACUCGCUCGCGGGGUUCAGCCGGCAUUCGUGCCGGUGUACUUCCCCGCGAGCGGGCCAGCGUCGGUUUGGGCGGUCGGUCAAAGGCCCUCGGAAGGUAACGCCCCCAGGGGCGUCUUAUAGCCGAGGGUGCAAUGCGACCUGCCUAGACCGAGGAACGCGCUUCGGCUCGGACGCUGGCAUAAUGGUCGUAAGCGACC